rnacentral:lncRNA from 1 species
GGUCCGCUGUUGCCCAAACCACAGAUGCGUGGUCUUCUGGCCAAGUGUCUGCGGGUUCAUAUUGUUGGCGCAUUCAUUGUGGCCCUGGGAGUUGCCGCUGCCUAUAAGUUUGGAGUGGCUGAAUCAAGAAAGAAGGUGUAUGUAGAAUUCUACGGAAAUUAUGAUUCCAUGAAAGAGUUCGAAGAGAUGAGGAAGGCUGGUAUCUUUCAGAGUGGGAAG